rnacentral:rRNA from 1 species
UAGCACGAAGUAUUAAAGGUAACGCCUGCCCAGUGAUACUUAAACGGCCGCGGGAUCCUCACCGUGCAAAGGUAGCAUAAUCACUUGUCACCUAAAUAGUGACUAGUAUGAACGGCCUUAUGAAGAUUUUACUGUCUCUUGAAACCAGCCCAUGAAACUAUUCUCUCAGUACAAAAACUGAGAUAUUAACAUAAGACGAAAAGACCCUGUGGAACUUAAAGCACCCCCCAUACAUUAUGACUACCUGCUUUUAGUUGGGGCAACUUUGGAAUUAAACAAAACUUCCAACAAUACCAACAGACUCACAAGUCCACACACCACUAUUCGACCCAGUACAACUGAACAAAGAACCAAGCUACCCCAGGGAUAACAGCGCUAUCCCCUCUUAGAGCCCAAAUCGAAGAGUGGGGUUUACGACCUCGAUGUUGGAUCAGGGCCCCCAAACAGUGCAACAGCUGUUAAAGGUUUGUUUGUUCAACAACUAACGCCCUACGCGAUCUGAGUUAAGACCGGAGCAAUCCAGGUCGG